rnacentral:tRNA from 1 species
GCCAGUGUGGCGUAAUGGUUUGAGCAUUGGACUAUGACUCUGGAGACCAGGGUUUGAAUCCCUGCUGGGCCA